rnacentral:lncRNA from 1 species
ACAGCCUUGCGUUUUGACCAGCUACUUGGUUGUGUAUAUCCUUCUGCCUGCUGAAUUACGUGGGCAAGAGAUACCUUGCUCUUAACUAGGCUCAAACUCUGGCUUCUAUCCCCUGAUUUUCUUCGUUCAGCUAUGGAGGUGGAUGAAUUUUUUGCUAUAGACAUUGUCCCUCCCGGCAAAUCAGAUCGUGUAUUGUUGUCCAUCUGACCAUGGUGUUUUAAUUCUCUUGGAGAAGCUUCCUCUUCAACUAUCUCGCUAUCACCUAUUCUUCUUGAGUCAAGCUUUGCAAAAGCCAAACCUUCUCUGACAUUUACUUGCGUCCUGGUGUUUUCAUCAGGACCUUCCAUUCUCAUCCCAUUACCAUAAAUGCCGGGGCUUGUACCUAUAUGAGACGCUGACAAGACCAGUAUGGAGGUGGAUGAAUUUUUUUCUAUAGACAUUGUCCCUCCCGGCAAAUCAGAUCGUGUAUUGUUGUCGAUCUGACCAUGGUAUUUUAAUUCUCUUGGAGAAGCUUCCUCUUCAACUAUCUCGCUAUCACCUAUUCC